UACAGAGGUCUCAAGCGUUGUUCGGAUUCAUUGGGCGUAAAGGGUGUGUAGGUGGCGCGCUAAGUCGGGUGUGAAAUUUCGGAGCUUAACUCCGAAACUGCAUUCGAUACUGGCGUGCUUGAGGACUGGAGAGGAGACUGGAAUUUACGGUGUAGCAGUGAAAUGCGUAGAUAUGCGGAGGAACACCGAUGGCGAAGGCAAUCCCCUGGGCCUGCACUGACGCUCAUGCACGAAAGCGUGGGGAGCAAACAGG
rnacentral:rRNA from 1 species